UACGAAGGGGGCUAGCGUUGUUCGGAAUUACUGGGCGUAAAGCGUGCGCAGGCGGCUUCUCAAGUCAGGGGUGAAAGCCCAGAGCUCAACUCUGGAAUUGCCUUUGAGACUGAGUGGCUUGAGUACGAGAGAGGUGAGUGGAAUUCCCAGUGUAGAGGUGAAAUGCGUAGAUAUCGGAAGGAACACCAGUGGCGAAAGCGGCUUCCUGGUCCAGCGCCGACGUUCAGGCACGAAAGCGUGGGGAGCAAACAGG
rnacentral:rRNA from 1 species